AAUUUCCAUUUCCAUUUAUUUUAUUAAUUAAAAAUCUUUUUUAAUUAAUUAACCAUACAAUUUUUUUUAAUUGCUUUCUUCUCCAUAGUUUCUUUUUUCGGUCCUUACUUCUUCCCCAUCUUUUCUUCCCAUCCCCGGCACCAUCGCCUAUGCUUGAUCAACAUUUUUGACCACCGAAACGAAGCUCUCUUCACCGCUUUCAACUUCCAUUUUAAGGGCUCAAAUCUGUCCGACCCAAUAAAUAAAACAACAAAACAAACAAAAUAAUAACUAAAGUGCAAAUUACAAGCCCAAUUUACCCUGAGCCAAAUAUGCUAACAUAAAAAACCCUAAAAGCCCAAAGCCCAAAACCUAAAAACUAAACAAGAAACCCUAGCCACCUCUAAGCCUCCGGCUGUUGCCGCUCCUCUGCCUUGGUGUAACAUGUAACACCCCUUACCCGUAUUCGACGUUGGAAUAGGGUACGAGGCAUUACCGAAACAUACACUUAUAAACGUAUUAAAUCGAGUCAUAAAAUUUCAUUAAUUAUUAAAACUUUCAAAUUAUUAACAUGCCUUUAUAAUUCUUCAAAAUAUAAAUAAUGCAACAUUUCCUGCCAACCACAAUCGAGCUUCCGAUAAUCAUUUCAAUACAUCUAAUAAUUGUACAUAUUACCAAUAAUAAUUCAAUUACGAUAAUAAAUCACAUAUCUAUAUAAUAUUCAUUACCAAAUAGCAUUCACUGCAAUUAAAAUUAUAAAAAAUAUAGUUCAUACGAACUUAACAGGCUAAAUUGCAGAAAUACCAAAAUUCAGGGACAUUUUGAAAAAUUUCUAUUUUUCUCGAAUUUCCACCCAAUCUUGAUCUAAAUUAAUAUUUCAUUCAAUUUACUAAUUUAAAUAAUAAAACAAUUCACUUCAUGCAAUUUGGUUACUUUUUGACAUUUUUAUAAAUUUACCCAUAAAGUUUCACAUUUGUUCAAUUUAGUCCCUGAACCUAAAACAUGUAAGUUGGUCAUUUUUAAUGAAAACUCAUGCUAGUUGAAUAAUCAUAUAUUUUCCUCCUCCUCCUCUCCAUUCCACAUCCUUAAUGUAUAUAACAUGCUUAUAGGUAACAUUAUCUAUAAUUUCACCAUUUACUUAUAUAUUCAUGGAAAGCUGUCCACUUGAGGCAUAGUCACUAAAUUAUUUAUAUCUUGAGCUACAGAACUUAAAAUUAAGAUCCGUUAAUUUUAUCUGAAACUAGACUCACAUAUCUUCUUACCAUAAAAUUUUCAGAAUUUUUGGUUUAUCCAAUAAGUAGAGUUUAUUCUUUAAAGUCAUCCCUGUUCUGCUGUCUGACAGUUCUGACCCUUCUUCACUAAAAAUUAAUUAUCUCCUCGUACAGAAUUCAAAUGAUGUUACCAUUUGUUUCUAUUAAAAAUAGACUCAUUAAUAAUUUAAAAAUAUAAAUUUAAUCCUCUAAUUAUUUUUCUCCAAUUUUUUAUAAUUUUCCAAAGUCAGUACAGGGGAACCCGAAUUCAUUCUGACCUAGUCUCACAAAAGUCAUUAUAUCUCAUGAUUUACAAUUCCAUUACUUACACCGUUUCUUCUAUGAAAAACUAGACUCAAUAAUAUUUAAUUCCAUAUUUUUCUCAUCCUCUAAUUCAAUUUCCACGAUUUAUGGUAAUUUUUAAAAGUUAACCUACUGCUGCUGUCCAAAACUGUUUUAGUGCAAAAUGGUGAUUACUAAAUUUAUAACACCCUUAUUCCCUUUCUCUAUAGUAAUUCCCAUCACUUUCUCUUAUUUUUCUUCACUAACAUAUCAAGAACAUAUAACCUUAUAUAAUAAAACCCUACAUUAACAUCAAUUUCAUACUUUUUCAAUAACAUCAAACUCAAAAAUAUAUUGAAAUAUUGAUGUUCUUACCUUGCUCUAUUGAUUUCAAUCUUUAGCUUGAUUUUCUCUCUCCUCCAGCCUCUAUUUCUUGAAUCUAACUUGACAUUCUAGCUCCCCAUAGUCUCCUUAUCAAUUUUCUCUCUUGGUGAUUAUGGAAAUUUCUUUGAAUUCUAAGUGAAAAUGGUGGAUUUUUGGUAAAAAGGACCAAAUUGUGAAGAAAAG
rnacentral:lncRNA from 1 species